rnacentral:rRNA from 1 species
CUGGCUCAGGAUGAAUGCUGGCGGCAUGCCUAAUACAUGCAAGUCGAGCGGUAACAGGACUAGCUUGCUAGUUGCUGACGAGCGGCGGACGGCUGAGUAACGCAUGGGAACGCACCCCAAACUGAGGGAUAACUAGUCGAAAGAUUAGCUAAUACCGCAUGUGAUCUUCGGAUUAAAGCUUUCGGGCGGUUUGGGAGCGGCCUGUGUACGAUUAGCUAGUUGGUGAGGUAAUGGCUCACCAAGGCGACGAUCGUUAGAUGGUUUGAGAGGAUGAUCAUCCAGACUGGAACUGAGACACGGUCCAGACUCCUACGGGAGGCAGCAGUAGGGAAUCUUUCACAAUGGGCGAAAGCCUGAUGGAGCAAUGCCGCGUGCAGGACGAAGGCCUUCGGGUUGUAAACUGCUUUUAUAAGCGAGGAAUAUGACGGUAACUUAUGAAUAAGGAUCGGCUAACUACGUGCCAGCCGCCGC